UAUGGGAAACCAGCACAUCACUGGCAUGAACAGGGGACACGCUUCAGCACAAGAGUCACGCUUCAAUUUGUCUUCUUGCGGCUGAGGAACAGGGCGGCGUUUUUCGGCAGAUGUCUAAGCGACUUACUCGGAAAAUCGGUGGAUCAAUACGGCUUAGACAGCAGCGAGAGAGACUGACAUCAUACACAACGCAGAGACUGCACAACCAUCAUUGUUGACAUUCUGCCUGCCCUCCAGAUGUUUUCAAACAACAGCAGUAUGGAAAUGUCAACAGCGUACGAUUCUUCAUGGCCAUCCCAAAGCCUUUCAAGAUCAAGCCUCUCAGCACCUUUCAAGUGUUUCCGUCGUCAGUCCUCACUUGUUUUCAUCAGCUAAGGUUAAAACCCAGAACACCUGACUGCACAGUCACAUGACAGACCUUUGAACACACAAUCGCAUAAAGGUUUUUUGUGCAACAAUGCAUAAAAUGUAAUUUCAAGCUGCUGUUCAAAAUCAAUACCGAAUUUAAGGCAAAAUUGCCUCUUUCCCCAACCAAUCAGUUUUAAAGGAACGUAUUAACCAAUCCAGGCCUUUUCAGUGGCUUUGGAUUAUUAACGGUUAUUAACUUUUACAUGCUGAGGGUGGCUGUGAUUUAUAAGAUGUCGGAAGUCCUUGGUAGCAAUAGCUCCCACAGGCCACGGCCAGCAAACCCCAAAGAGAACCUCAAACUAUGGUGUCUGCUUUUAGUUAAUGUAAUGAUUGUGAUGAGGAU